CCUACGGGAGGCAGCAGUGGGGAAUAUUGGGCAAUGGGCGCAAGCCUGACCCAGCAACGCCGCGUGAAGAAAGAAGGCUCUCGGGUUGUAAACUUCUUUUAUCAGGGACGAAGCAAGUGACGGUACCUGAUGAAUAAGCAACGGCUAACUACGGGCCAGCAGCCGCGGUAAUACGUAGGUGGCAAGCGUUAUCCGGAUUUACUGGGUGUAAAGGGCGGGUAGGCGGGAAAGCAAGUCAGAUGUGAAAACCAGGGGCUCAACCUGUGGCCUGCAUUUGAAACUGUUUUUCUUGAGUACUGGAGAGGCAGCCGGAAUUCCUCGUGUAGCGGUGACAUGCGUAGAUAUUCGGAGGCACACCAGUGGCGAAGGCGGUCUGCUGGACUGCAACUGCCGCUGCGGCUCGACAGCGUGGGGAGCAAACAGGAUUAGAUACCCGGGUAGUC
rnacentral:rRNA from 1 species